rnacentral:rRNA from 1 species
CUUGCUUUCUUUGCUGGCGACCGGCGCACGGGUGAGUAACACGUAUUCAACCUACCCUUUACUCGGGGAUAGCCUUUCGAAAGAAAGAUUAAUACCCGAUAGCAUAAUGAUUCCGCAUGGUUUCAUUAUUAAAGGAUUCCGGUAAAGGAUGGGGAUGCGUUCCAUUAGGUUGUUGGUGGGGUAACGGCCCACCAAGCCUUCGAUGGAUAGGGGUUCUGAGAGGAAGGUCCCCCACAUUGGAACUGAGACACGGUCCAAACUCCUACGGGAGGCAGCAUG